rnacentral:rRNA from 1 species
UACAGAGGUCCCAAGCGUUGUUCGGAUUCAUUGGGCGUAAAGGGUGCGUAGGUGGCGUCGUAAGUCGGGUGUGAAAUCUCGGGGCUUAACUCCGAAACUGCAUUCGAUACUGCCUUGCUAGAGUACUGGAGAGGAGACUGGAAUUUACGGUGUAGCAGUGAAAUGCGUAGAUAUCGUAAGGAAGACCAGUGGCGAAGGCGAGUCUCUGGACAGUUCCUGACACUGAGACACGAAGGCCAGGGGAGCAAACGGG